AACAAAAAGUCAUUAUUCUCUGUGUCUAUGUGAGCAGCGGGAGAAAGACUGAAAGAGGGAGAUUGGAAAAACCGUAAAGCCAAAACCCUAGGCUAGUGUUAUUGGCUCAAGUUUUAGAACUGGUUCAAUCUUCAAUUUUGGUAACACCCAACACGUGUAAUAGUGUUGGCCUACGGCUACAACUCAAAGUCAUUCUUGGUGGAGCUUGAAGGAAGCCUUUUCUCUAAAACUUCUGUUACAGGUUGAUGAUAUAUGAUGCCGAAUAAUCGUAAACCAAGCAAACGAGGAAGAUUAGAAGCAUAUUACAACCCUAUUCCCAGAGUAGAUAGAUCAGAAAGUGUUGCUCUUGCUCCAAAUAUUGAACUCAAUGAAGUAGUUGUUGAUGCAGUUGAACCCGAAGAAUUGCACACCCAAAGAACUGGAAUAGAAGAAGACAGACCUGAAGUGAUGAAUGUUACUCCAUUAGAACGUGAUCCGGGGUUACGAAUUCCAGUAAUGCAACAUCCUGUUAACAAGCGUGAUGAAGUUCGGCGAGCAUAUUUAUUGUUGGGACCUUAUCAGCCGAGAUUAAAAUAUCCCCGCUCUAAAUUCGGAAAGCAAUACCGUGGUUUUAAUUUUAGUUGGUUCGCACAACAUCCUUGGUUGGAGUAUUCACCUUCUAAAGAUGCUGCAUAUUGUUUUCAGUGUUUUCUUUUUGAAUCAGAUCCUCCAAAACACUCAGCAUUCACUAGUGAAGGUUUCAAAAGAUGGUGUUCUGUUAAUAAUGGAUCAGCAUGUGCAUUUCUAAAACACUCUGGAAAUGUUGAUUCUGGACACUCUACUGCCCAAGGAAAUUCUGAAGCUUUGAAGAAUUCAGCUCAGCGAAUAAGUCUUUUGGUAGAGAAACAAUCAAUAGAGGCUGUAACGAGACAUAGGUUGCGUCUCAAGACAACAAUUGACUGUUUAAGAUGGCUUGCGCGUCAACAAUGUGCUUUCAGAGGUCACGAUGAGUCAAAAGGUUCAAGGAAUCGUGGGAAUUUUAUUGAAUUGAUCAAGUAUUCAGCAUCACUUAAUAAAGAUGUGAAUGCAGUCGUCUUGGAGAAUGCCACUGGAAAUGCCACUUAUACUUCACCCAAGAUUCAGAAAGAGAUCUUAAAUAUUAUAUCUAACAGAGUUAGAAGCAAGAUUCGCGAGGAAAUUGGAAAUGCCAAAUAUUGUAUCCUUGUUGAUGAGUCGCGGGACGCUUCCAAGAAAGAGCAAAUGGUGAUUGUUUUAAGGUAUGUGGAUAUUGAUGGUUAUGUUCAAGAAAGGUUUUUUGAUAUUCAACAUGUUGAAAAUACUUGUGCUUUAACUCUGAAAAAUGGAAUAACAAAAAUUCUUAAUUAUUAUGAUCUUCAAGUUGAAAACAUGCGAGGGCAGGGGUAUGAUGGCGCAAGUAAUAUGCGUGGUCAGUGGAAUGGCUUACAAGCCUUGUUUCGUGAGGAAUGUAAAUAUGCAUAUUAUGUUCAUUGUUUUUCACAUCGCCUUCAGCUAGCACUUGUGAAAACAGCUGAAACUUUGGGUCCAGUUUGGAAAUUUAUUCUAUGUUAUCAUCAAUUGUCAAUCUUGUUACAUCUUCUUCACAUCGAUUUGGUGAUUUUCAGUCUGCUCAAGAAGAUGAGAUUGCCAAAAGGUUAUCUAGUGGUGAACUUGAGACAGGGAAAGGGGCAAACCAAAUAGGUACUUUGCCACGUGCUACUGAUACCCGUUGGAGUUCCCAUUAUGGUUCCGUAUGCAGUUUGAUAGAUAAGUUCGAAGCAACCUGCACAACUAUCGACCAUAUUGGCGCAAGUGAUCCGAAAGUGACUCCUAAAGUUGGUGAAGCACAAAGUAUUUCUGAAGAAAUGAGGUCAUUCAGGUUUGUCUUUGUCUUGCAUUUGAUGUUUAAAAUUAUGGGUAUUACUGAAAUAUUAUGCCAAGGUCUUCAAAAGAAAACACAAGACAUAGUAAAUGCAAUGGCUCUAGUCUCAAACACAAAAGUCUUACUUAGAGAAUUAAAAGAAGAGAGAUGGGAAAAUUUUAUUACAACUGUUACUGAAUUUUGUGUUGCACAUGGUGUUGAAACACCUAAUAUGGACGCUCGCUAUAUGAUGGGUACAGGCCGUUCUUGUCAGCAACGUGAUAAUAUCACAGUAGAUCACCAUUAUCGUGUUGAUAUAUUUACUGCUACAAUUGAUUUUCAGUUGUCAGAGUUAGAUCAUAGGUUUCCAGAGGACACAAUGGAACUACUCAUUCUUAGCUCAUGUUUGGAUCCUCGGGAUUCUUUUAAGUCAUUCGAUGUUGACAGUCUUUGUAAUCUUGCUGAGAAGUUUUAUCCUCUAGAUUUCAGUCCGCAAGAGGUACACAUUUUGAGAAAUGAGUUACAACAUUAUGGUCAUGAUGUAGUUAACAAUUUGCAAUUUCAGAACUUAUCAACUAUUUCCGAGUUAUGUCGGCAACUAGUAGUAACCAAGAAGGCAGAAGCUUACCCUAUGAUUGACAAAUUGAUUCGUAUUGUGCUUACUCUCCCUGUUUCCACGGCAUCUGCAGAAAGAUUUUUCUCAAUAAUGAAAUUGGUCAAAUCAGCUACUCGUAACAAAAUGCAACAAGAUUUUCUUAGGGAUUGCAUGAUGCUCUACAUUGAACAAGACAUUGCAGGAGCUAUCCAUACUGAUUCAAUCAUAGAUGAGUUUGACGAUUUAUACAAUCGUAGGGUACAACUUAAGUGCUAGCCAUGGGUUGAUGAUAUUCACUCUUUGGUAAAAUAUAAAUGCUAAUAGUUCAUACGCAAUGACAAGGCUAAGCAUUUUAAUCAGGUAAAUCGUUUGAAUAUCGUGUAUGUUGAUUAUGCAAUUAUUAUAAUUCAUUUGCUAGUCGUGUUGUCUUGAUUGAAUUGUUUCACAGGAGGCAAGAAAACAACCAGAACUACGUUAAGGAGCCGCUGCGCCAGGUCAGGUGGAAGCAAGACUCAAUUGCUCGAAAAUA